CACAGAGAAAGGAUGUAAUGGAAGGAUGGAAAGGUAUUGAGCCAAGAUCCAGAAUUCUAAUCACAGAGAGAAAGACAUGCAUGUAACAGGCCGUGUAAAACAGACACAGCCCUGGAGCUUCAUCUCCCUGAGUCCUUGCUGUUCUCAGAGAAGGAAAAGUCACUGCGAGCUUCAGUAGGUGUCUUUUACAUCCAAGAAUCUGGAUAGGAAUUGGAGCACAGGUUUUUUCCUGGGAGGAAACACUGCCACCAUACUUUUAGUGUAAGCACCAAGUUUUCAUUCUUCCUGCCACCUUGACAAAGCAUACAUCUUAGAAUCAUUUCCUUGCCACCAACUUCCCCUGUGUGGGUGAGAGAAAAUCAGAUUACACACCAAAGUCUAAACAUCGUGCUUCUCCACUGGUUUCCUGGUACCCAGUGUCCUCCUGGGCUUCGAGAUUUCCUGUUUGAAAACCAAAUGUGUUUGCCACCUUGUGGUCUGUAUUUUUAAAUUUGUUUUUAGCCAGAUAUUGUUAUCAAUAAAUUCAUUGCCUA
rnacentral:lncRNA from 1 species